rnacentral:rRNA from 1 species
UACGUAGGGAGCAAGCGUUGUCCGGAAUCAUUGGGCGUAAAGCGCGGUUGUAGGCGGCUCGAUAAGUCUGCUGUGAAAGUCCAGGGCUCAACCCCUGGGAUGCCGGUGGAUACUGUCGAGCUCGAGUCCGGAAGAGGCGAGUGGAAUUCCUGGUGUAGCGGUGAAAUGCGCAGAUAUCAGGAGGAACACCAAUGGCGAAGGCAGCUCGCUGGGACGUGACUGACGCUGAGACGCGAAAGCGUGGGGAGCAAACAGG